GGUGUUUAGAUCGAUGGUGUUAUUGGAGUGUGACUGUGUUAGAGUGGGGUUCCCCCAGCUGAAUUAGAGCACAUACUUCAUACCAAUCCUGAAAUUGCUGAUGCUGCAGUAGUCCCGUAUCCUGAUGAAGAUGUACGGCAAAUUCCAAUGGCUUUUGUGGUAAGAAAGCCAGGAAGCAACAUCACUGCAGCUCAGGUCAUGGACUAUGUUGCGAAGCAGGAGCGCCAAUGAAACUUCAACUGAUAGAAGGAAGAAGGCAGCACAAAGAAAUUAAAAGACUAUUGAUAGGGCACAAGAACCUUUCUGCGAAGUAAGCAACUUUUUUUUCUUUCCAUAAAAAUGUUCAAUCUUCCAUUACAGAGCAUGGAUUUAUCUAUGUAUUUUGUUUUCUUUCGAAAAACUGCACUUGAGUUUGUGUUAGGGGAAAACAAUAUAGCAGAGUUCUUGGGAGAAGAAUAUGAUAGAGAGAUGGUGGAAGGUAGUAAACAUAUGCGUAUC
rnacentral:lncRNA from 1 species